rnacentral:lncRNA from 1 species
GAGGAAGCCCGGACGGACCUGGGCGGAGAAUCGGGGGCGGCGGCAGGUGGGGGGGCGAGGGUUUGCGCUGCUGUCUCGCUCGCAAGGGGGAGGGGAGUAGCGGAGACGGGGACGGGAACAGAAGAUGGAGAUGGAGGAGAUGGGUCGCUUUGGCGUCUGGUUCGUCGCGGAUUUGAUUAUUUCUUUCUUUUUUGUGUGUUCCGUGAACUUGUGCGCCUCCUUUUUUUGCGG